AUGUGAGAUGCAGUGUAUGGAAUGUCAAAUUUCUAGUAUGAGAAAUUAAUGAUUUAAGUCCUUCUUAAAUGAGGCCAUUUACCCAAAGAGGGUGCCAGGCCCGUAUAACAUUAAUGAUUACUAGAUGAUAUUUCCAAAGAGUCGUGUUGCUUGAUAGUGCAGCACUAAGUGGGUGGUAAACUCCAUCUAAAACUAAAUAUAACCAUGAGACCGAUAGUAAACAAGUACCGUGAGGGAAAGUUGAAAAGAACUCUGAAUAGAGAGUUAAAUAGUACGUGAAACUGCUUAGAGGUUAAGCCCGAUGAACUUGAAUAUCCAUUAUAGAAAAUUCAUCAUCAUGAUUUUAAUAUUUAUAAAAUAUUAAAUUAAUGGUGUGCAUUUUUUCUAUAUAAGGACAUUGUAAUCUAUUAACAUAACAUACAUAUAUUUAUUAAAAGAUCAAUUGGCACAAGUUUAUUUAAAUUAUUUUGCUUGCAAUUUAACAUAAAAUAAAUGCUAUUGAUUUGAUAAAGUGUUGAUAGAUUUAUUAUUAUAUAGUGCUUAAAUAUAAUUAUAUAUAUUUUAUAAUAGCAUAUUUAUCAUUGAUAUUUAUGUUUAUUAUAUGCACUUAUAUGAUUAACAAUGCGAAAGAUUCAGGAUACCUUCGGGACCCGUCUUGAAACACGGACCAAGGAGUCUAACAUAUUUGCAAGUUAUUGGGAAUUAAAAACCUAAUAGCAUAAUUAACAUAACUUUAUUUUAAUGGGAUUAGUUAUAUAGUACUAUUUUUAUAAUAGUCUAUUAAUUCAAUCCCGGGGCGUUCUAAGGUUAUAUAUAAUAAUAUUUAUAUUAUUUAUAUCUCUAACCAGAGCGUACCUUGAGCAUAUAUGCUGUGACCCGAAAGAUGGUGAACUAUACUUGAUCAGGUUGAAGUCAGGGGAAA
rnacentral:rRNA from 1 species